GGCGCGCACACAGGUGCUGCAUGGCUGUCGUCAGCUCGUGUCGUGAGAUGUUGGGUUAAGUCCCGCAACGAGCGCAACCCACGUCCUUAGUUGCCAUCAUUCAGUUGGGCACUCUAGGGAGACUGCCGGUGAUAAGCCGCGAGGAAGGUGUGGAUGACGUCAAGUCCUCAUGGCCCUUACGGGAUGGGCUACACACGUGCUACAAUGGCGGUGACAGUGGGACGCGAAGGAGCGAUCUGGAGCAAAUCCCCAAAAGCCGUCUCAGUUCGGAUUGCACUCUGCAACUCGAGUGCAUGAAGGCGGAAUCGCUAGUAAUCGUGGAUCAGCAUGCCACGGUGAAUACGUUCCCGGGCCUU
rnacentral:rRNA from 1 species